rnacentral:rRNA from 1 species
CUGGAGGUAUCAGAAGUGCGAAUGCUGACAUAAGUAACGAUAAAGCGGGUGAAAAGCCCGCUCGCCGGAAGACCAAGGGUUCCUGUCCAACGUUAAUCGGGGCAGGGUGAGUCGACCCCUAAGGCGAGGCCGAAAGGCGUAGUCGAUGGGAAACAGGUUAAUAUUCCUGUACUUGGUGUUACUGCGAAGGGGGGACGGAGAAGGCUAUGUUAGCCGGGCGACGGUUGUCCCGGUUUAAGCAUGUAGGCGGAGGUUCCAGGUAAAUCCGGUACCUUUUAACGCUGAGGUGUGAUGACGAGGCACUACGGUGCUGAAGUAACAAAUGCCCUGCUUCCAGGAAAAGCCUCUAAGCAUCAGGUAACACGAAAUCGUACCCCAAACCGACACAGGUGGUCAGGUAGAGAAUACCAAGGCGCUUGAGAGAACUCGGGUGAAGGAACUAGGCAAAAUGGUGCCGUAACUUCGGGAGAAGGCACGCUGACAUGUAGGUGAAGCCCCUGCGGGUGGAGCUGAAGUCAGUCGAAGAUACCAGCUGGCUGCAACUGUUUAUUAAAAACACAGCACUGUGCAAACACGAAAGUGGACGUAUACGGUGUGACGCCUGCCCGGUGCCGGAA